UGGCGGCGUGCCUAACACAUGCAAGUCGAGCGAGGAGAUCCUUCGGGAUGAUCCUAGCGGCGGACGGGUGAGGUAACACGUGGGGCAACCUGCCUCAUAGAGAGGAAUAGCCUUCCGAAAGGGAGAUUAAUACCUCAUAACAUUGCAGUUUCGCAUGAAACAGCAAUUAAAGGAGCAAUCCGCUAUGAGAUGGGGCCCGCGGCGCAUUAGCUAGUUGGUGAGGUAACGGCUCACCAAGGCGACGAUGCGUAGCCGACCUGAGAGGGUGAUCGGCCACAUUGGGACUGAGACACGGCCCAGACUCCUACGGGAGGCAGCAGUGGGGAAUAUUGCACAAUGGGGGAAACCCUGAUGCAAGCAACGCCGCGUGAGUGAUGACGGCCUUCGGGUUGUAAAGCUCUGUCUUCAGGGACGAUAAUGACGGUACCUGAGGAGGAAGCCACGGCUAACUACGUGCCAGCCGCUGC
rnacentral:rRNA from 1 species